GGGCCCGCACAAGCAGUGGAGUAUGUGGUUUAAUUCGAAGCAACGCGAAGAACCUUACCAGGGCUUGACAUACCGAUGACCGCACUAGAGAUAGUGCUUCCCUUCGGGGCAUCGGAUACAGGUGGUGCAUGGUUGUCGUCAGCUCGUGUCGUGAGAUGUUGGGUUAAGUCCCGCAACGAGCGCAACCCCUGUUGUUAGUUGCCAUCAUUUAGUUGGGCACUCUAACAAGACUGCCGGUGACAAAUCGGAGGAAGGUGGGGAUGACGUCAAAUCAUCAUGCCCCUUAUGUCCUGGGCUACACACGUACUACAAUGGCGACCACAGAGGGAAGCAAGACCGCGAGGUGGAGCAAAUCCCCAAAAGUCGUCCCAGUUCAGAUUGCAGGCUGCAACUCGCCUGCAUGAAGUCGGAAUUGCUAGUAAUGGCAGGUCAGCAUACUGCCGUGAAUACGUUCCCGGGCCUU
rnacentral:rRNA from 1 species